rnacentral:rRNA from 1 species
CUCAGGACGAACGCUAGCGGCAGGCCUAAUACAUGCAAGUCGAACGGUAAGGUCCCUUCGGGGAUACACGAGUGGCGCACGGGUGCGUAACACGUAUGCAACCUACCCUCCGGAGGGGGAUAGUCGCGGGAAACUGCGAAUAAUACCCCAUGUGUUCAUUGGUUGGCAUCAACUGAUGAAGAAAGUUCCGGCGCCGGGGGAUGGGCAUGCGUCCCAUUAGCUAGUUGGUGAGGUAACGGCUCACCAAGGCGACGAUGGGUAGCUGGUCUGAGAGGAUGAUCAGCCACACGGGCACUGAGACACGGGCCCGACUCCUACGGGAGGCAGCAGUAAGGAAUCUUGGUCAAUGGGGGCAACCCUGAACCAGCCAUGCCGCGUGGAGGAAGACGGCCCUCCGGGUUGUAAACUCCUUUAGUCAGGGACUAAUUGUGGGCUAUAGGCACACUUGCAGGUACCUGAAGAAUAAGCGCCGGCUAACUACGUGCCAGCAGCCGCGGUAAUACGUAGGGCGCAAGCGUUGUCCGGAUUUAUUGGGUUUAAAGGGUGCGUAGGCGGAUUGUUAAGUUCGUGGUGAAAUCGUUCCGCUUAACGGAAUAACCGCCAUGGAUACUGGCAGUCUUGAGUGCGGUAGAGGAAGUUAGAAUGCGUGGUGUAGCGGCGAAAUGCAUAGAUAUCACGCAGAAUACCGAUUGCGAAGGCAGAUUUCUAUACCGUAACUGACGCUGAGGCACGAAAGCGUGGGGAGCGAACAGGAUUAGAUACCCUGGUAGUCCACGCUGUAAACCGUUGAUCACUAGGUGUUCGGCCGUAUGGCUGAGUGCCC